AUUGAACGCUGGCGGCAUGCCUUACACAUGCAAGUCGAACGGCAGCGCGGACUUCGGUCUGGCGGCGGGUGGCGAACGGGUGAGUAAUACAUCGGAACGUACCCUGUUGUGGGGGAUAACUAGUCGAAAGAUUAGCUAAUACCGCAUACGACCUGAGGGUGAAAGUGGGGGACCGGAAACGGCCUCAUGCAGCAGGAGCGGCCGAUGUCUGAUUAGCUAGUUGGUGGGGUAAAGGCCCACCAAGGCGACGAUCAGUAGCUGGUCUGAGAGGACGAUCAGCCACACUGGGACUGAGACACGGCCCAGACUCCUACGGGAGGCAGCAGUGGGGAAUUUUGGACAAUGGGGGCAACCCUGAUCCAGCAAUGCCGCGUGUGUGAAGAAGGCCUUCGGGUUGUAAAGCACUUUUGUCCGGAAAGAAAUCGCGCUGGUUAAUACCAGGCGUGGAUGACGGUACCGGAAGAAUAAGCACCGGCUAACUACGUG
rnacentral:rRNA from 1 species